rnacentral:rRNA from 1 species
UUAAAACCCUAAGGACUUGGCGGUGUCCCAAACCCACCUAGAGGAGCCUGUUCUAUAAUCGAUAACCCACGCUACACCCGACCCCCCCUUGCCCCAAGCAGCCUAUAUACCGCCGUCGCCAGCCCACCUCCCCUGAGAGCUUAACAGUGAGCACAACAGCCCCACCCGCUAGAAAGACAGGUCAAGGUACAGCCCAUGGGGGGGAAGAAAUGGGCUACAUUUUCUGACACAGACAACCAACGAAAGAGAGCCUGAAAUAACUCUCAGAAGGCGGAUUUAGCAGUAAAACAUAAUCAUCACGAUUGUCUUAAGCUGGCCCUGGGACACGUACAUACCGCCCGU